GACGAACGCUGGCGGCGUGCUUAACACAUGCAAGUCGAACGGAAAGGCCCUGCUUUUGUGGGGUGCUCGAGUGGCGAACGGGUGAGUAACACGUGAGUAACCUGCCCUUGACUUUGGGAUAACUUCAGGAAACUGGGGCUAUUACCGGAUAGGAGCUCUUGCUGCAUGGUGGGGGUUGGAAAGUUUCGGCGGUUGGGGAUGGACUCGCGGCUUACCAGCUGGUUGGGGGGGUAGUGGCUUACCAAGGCUUUGACGGGUAGCCGGCCUGAGAGGGUGACCGGCCACAUUGGGACUGAGAUACGGCCCAGACUCCUACGGGAGGCAGCAGUGGGGAAUAUUGCACAAUGGGCGGAAGCCUGAUGCAGCAACGCCGCGUGCGGGAUGACGGCCUUCGGGUUGUAAACCGCUUUCGCCUGUGACGAAGCGUGAGUGACGGUAAUGGGUAAAGAAGCACCGGCUAACUACGUG
rnacentral:rRNA from 1 species